rnacentral:rRNA from 1 species
AGAGUUUGAUCCUGGCUCAGGAUGAACGCUAGCGGCAGGCUUAACACAUGCAAGUCGAGGGGCAGCAUAAUGGAUAGCAAUAUCUAUGGUGGCGACCGGCGCACGGGUGCGUAACGCGUAUGCAACCUACCUUUAACAGGGGGAUAACACUGAGAAAUUGGUACUAAUACCCCAUAAUAUCAUAGAAGGCAUCUUUUAUGGUUGAAAAUUCCGAUGGUUAGAGAUGGGCAUGCGUUGUAUUAGCUAGUUGGUGGGGUAACGGCUCACCAAGGCGACGAUACAUAGGGGGACUGAGAGGUUAACCCCCCACACUGGUACUGAGACACGGACCAGACUCCUACGGGAGGCAGCAGUGAGGAAUAUUGGUCAAUGGACGCAAGUCUGAACCAGCCAUGCCGCGUGCAGGAUGACGGCUCUAUGAGUUGUAAACUGCUUUUGUACGAGGGUAAACGCAGAUACGUGUAUCUGUCUGAAAGUAUCGUACGAAUAAGGAUCGGCUAACUCCGUGCCAGCAGCCGCGGUAAUACGGAGGAUUCAAGCGUUAUCCGGAUUUAUUGGGUUUAAAGGGUGCGUAGGCGGUUUGAUAAGUUAGAGGUGAAAUUUCGGGGCUCAACCCUGAACGUGCCUCUAAUACUGUUGAGCUAGAGAGUAGUUGCGGUAGGCGGAAUGUAUGGUGUAGCGGUGAAAUGCUUAGAGAUCAUACAGAACACCGAUUGCGAAGGCAGCUUACCAAACUAUAUCUGACGUUGAGGCACGAAAGCGUGGGGAGCAAACAGGAUUAGAUACCCUGGUAGUCCACGCAGUAAACGAUGAUAACUCGUUGUCGGCGAUACACAGUCGGUGACUAAGCGAAAGCGAUAAGUUAUCCACCUGGGGAGUACGUUCGCAAGAAUGAAACUCAAAGGAAUUGACGGGGGCCCGCACAAGCGGAGGAACAUGUGGUUUAAUUCGAUGAUACGCGAGGAACCUUACCCGGGCUUGAAAGUUAGCGACGAUUCUUGAAAGAGGAUUUCCCUUCGGGGCGCGAAACUAGGUGCUGCAUGGUUGUCGUCAGCUCGUGCCGUGAGGUGUCGG